UAUGUGUGUGUGUGUGUGUGUGUGUACACGCAGACACACAAUCAAUACAUACACAAAACACACACACAUAAAAUCAAGAGGCUUUUAAAGUUAGUUUUAUAUACACACACACACACACACACACACACA